ACUGUAAAUUUUCCACUUUUAAAGGUAUUUCGGUAAUUUAUCUAUUUUAGGGUUUUUCAUGCAUAUUCCUACUUUUCACGUACUAACAGAAUCACGUACCGAGGGUUCUUACCGAAUUGGGCCCGUUGGCCCAUCAUUCCAAUUUUGGCCCAUUAAGCCAAAAAAUAUCAAGGGCACAGAAAUCAUGCACUUUGCAGUCCAAAUUUUACAGCUUACCAAAAACAUUAAUCGAUUUACCUCAUGAGCAUUCGCACACUCGCAAAUCUACAAAAUACCGGUUUUCGGCAUUUCGGCUUUUCGACUUUUGCCGAUCCAGACUAAGAAAGAGGGUGUUAGUUACACACCUGUUUGCAACGAUAUGCUGACGAGAUCCACACACGAACCGCCUACAAUUGGAUUACUAACACGUUAAUCUAACUAUUCAAAUACAAAAUACGUAUUAACUCCUUACAAUAUUCGGCCAACCACACCUACAGAUCAUAGUAAGCUUAUAAGAAAUCAAUAAGCAACUCAUUAACAAAUUUUUGUCAAUGUUUACCACAUAAUCAUAAUUUCACUGCAAGCUGUCUUCCUGAGCAACAAUCACUAAAUCAUUUAUAACUGGAGCUACGAAACUCCAAAUCAAGUGCCGUUAAUUUUCCCUAAAAAUAGACUCAUAUAUCUUCUAUCCAUAAAAUUUUCAGAAUUUUUGGUAUGGCCAAUCAAUACCAGAUUUUUCUUAAAGUUUCCCAUGUUUCACUGUUUGACUAAUCUGACCACUCUUCAUUACGAAUCAAAUUUUCUCAUUGUACAGAAUUCAAAAUAUGUUCUCGUUUAUUCCAUUUGAAACUAGACUCAUUAAUCUUUAAUUACAUAAUUUAUUCAGCUUCUAAUUCAUCUCCCACAAUUUAUGGUGAUUUUUCAAACUCACGUUACUACUGCUGUCCCAAGCAGAUUUAUUACCAAAUUCACUCUUUCACACAUAACUUGCAUGCAUGUUAUUUAAACAUGUAUAUCACCAAUCAAUCAUCACAUAUCUAUGAUUUUACUUAAGUAUAAUCUCUAUUUCAUCAUUUUAAAGCACAACAUAUUAGCCGAUUUUUCCCUUUAGCAUCUAAGGCACAUGCAUGUUCAUUUGUUUGGCUCAACUUCACCUAUCUUCCAUUUUUCAUCAAAAGAACAUGAAACAACAACCAUUUCCUUCAUUUUAAUUCAUGACCAAAUACUCACAACACAACCAAAAACCAAAAUAUGCUUCAAGAGUUAAGGUAGAAUCAAGAAAAACUCAUGAACCUCAAAAUAGAAGCAAACUACCAUGAACUUACCUUCAAUUUUCUUCCCCAAGUGACCGAACAUUCAAGAGCUUUCUCCUCUCCUUUCUCUUCUCUAACUUUAGGCUAUGAUGAACAAAGAUGGGCAAAACUUUGUUCUUUUCACCCCUUUUUCUUUUAAUAAAAUUUCAUAUUUC
rnacentral:lncRNA from 1 species